rnacentral:snRNA from 1 species
ACUGAGAUUCAGCCCUUU